UGAGGUUAUGUCUCUAUGGAUGAAAUUUGACAAACCAAUAUCAGGCACUUUUUCAUCUCUGAAUAUAUCAGCAAUCGCUGUUUGAAAUUUAAAAAUUAAUUCAUUGCCAUAAUUCUAAGGUCCAUUAAUAUGAGAUUCGCCUUUUAUUUGCAAGAAAUU